GACGAACGCUGGCGGCGUGCCUAACACAUGCAAGUCGAACGAGAUCCAUGGGAGCUUGCUCCCGGAAGAUCUAGUGGCGAACGGGUGAGUAACACGUGAGAAACCUGCCCUGGAGUGGGGAAUAACUCGGGGAAACUCGAGCUAAUACCGCAUACCCUCGGAUGGUCGCAUGGCCGACCGAGGAAAAGAUUUAUCGCUCUAGGAGGGUCUCGCGGCCUAUCAGCUAGUUGGUGGGUAACGGCCUACCAAGGCAACGACGGGUAGCUGGUUUGAGAGAACGAUCAGCCACACUGGGACUGAGACACGGCCCAGACUCCUACGGGAGGCAGCAGUGGGGAAUCUUGCGCAAUGGGCGAAAGCCUGACGCAGCAACGCCGCGUGCGGGAUGACGGCCUUCGUGGUUGU
rnacentral:rRNA from 1 species